rnacentral:rRNA from 1 species
UCAAGUUUUUAAGAGCAAACGGUGAAUGCCUUGGCAUCUGGAGCCGAAGAAGGACGUCGUAAUCUGCGAUAAGCCUCGGGGAGCUGAUAAACGAGCUGUGAUCCGAGGAUUUCCGAAUGGGGAAACCCCGCCAGGCCCCUUGUGGUGACCUGGUGACUCCCGCCUGAAUAUAUAGGGCGGGUAGAGGGAACGUGGGGAAGUGAAACAUCUCAGUACCCACAGGAAGAGAAAACAACAGUGAUUCCGUCAGUAGUGGCGAGCGAACGCGGAAGAGGCUAAACCGAAUCAUGUGUGAUACCCGGCAGGGGUUGCAUGGUCGGGGUUGUGGGACUUUUCGUUGUGUUCUGCCGAGCACUGAACGUUACAGCGCAUCAUAGACGAACAGGUUUGAAUGCCUGGCCAGAGCGGGUGCGAGCCCCGUAGUCGAAAUGGUGUAAUGGCGUGAAGAGUAUCCCAAGUAGCACGGGGCCCGAGAAAUCCCGUGUGAAUCUGUCAGGACCACCUGAUAAGCCUAAAUACUCCCAGAUGACCGAUAGCGGACAAGUACCGUGAGGGAAAGGUGAAAAGCACCCCGAUGAGGGGAGUGAAACAGUACCUGAAACCGGAUGCUUACAAUCAGUUGGAGCCUCCUUGAGGGGUGACAGCGUACCUCUUGCAUAAUGGGUCAGUGACUUAGUGUAUCAUGCAAGCUUAAGCCGUUAGGUGUAGGCGCAGCGAAAGCGAGUCUGAAUAGGGCGCAGAGUCAGAGGGGGUAGACGCGAAACUUUGUGAUCUACCCAUGAGCAGGCUGAAGGUUGGGUAACACCACCUGGAGGGCCGAACCAGUUUCCGUUGAAAAGGAUUUGGAUGACUUGUGGGUAGGUGUGAAAGGCCAAUCAAACUGAGAAAUAGCUCGU